rnacentral:lncRNA from 1 species
AGAGGCCCCUCGCAAAGUCUCGCGGCAUUCCGAGUCCGGCGGAGGAAGUGGGCCAGCCCCACCCCCAAAGGCUAUAGCCCACCCGUUUUUGUGAGCUUUUUCCGCUGGACGAACUUGGCGCCCCGGCCUUCGGGCGGUUAUUUUUGGGCGCGGCUUUGUCCGCGGCCUAUUUUUGGCACACGGAGGCCCGUCGCAAAGUCUCGCGGCAUUCCGAGUCCGGCGGAUGAAGUUGGCCAGCCCCACCCCCCAAGGCUAUAGCCCACCCGUUUUUGUGGCCUUUUUCCGUUGGACGAACUUGGUGCCCCGGCCUUCGGGCGGUUAUUUUUGGGCGCGGCUUUGCCCGCGGCCUAUUUUUGGCGCAGGGAGGCCCCUCGCAAAGUCUCACGGCAUUCCGAGCCCGGCGGAUGAAGUCGUCUGGCGGACGAAGUUGGCCAGCGCCGCCCACCAAGGCUAUAGCUCACCCGUUUUUGUGGGCUUUUUCCGCUGAACGAACUUGGCUCCCCGGCCUUCGGGCGGUUAUUUUUGGGCGCGGCUUUGGCCGCGGCCUAUUUUAGGCACGCGGAGGCCCCUCGCAAAGUCUCGCGGCAUUCCGAGUCCGGCGGACAAAGUCGGCCAGCCCCACCCCCCAGGCUAAAGUCCACCCGUUUUUGUGGCCUUUUUCCGCUGGACGAACUUGGCAGCCCCGGCCUUCAGGCGGUUAUUUUUCGGCGCGGGUUUGCCCGCGGCCUAUUUUUGGCACACGGAGGCCCCUCGUAAAGUCUCGCGGCAUUCCUAGCCCGGCGGACGAAGUUGUCCGGCGAACGAAGUUGGCCAGCCCCGCCCACCAAGGCUAUAGCUCACCCGUUUUUGUGGGCUUUUUCCGCUGGACGAACUUGGCUCCCCGGCCUUCGGGCGGUUAUUUUUGGGCGCGGCUUUGGCCGCGGCCUAUUUUAGGCACGCGGAGGCCCCUCUCAAAGUCUCGCGGCAUUCCGAGUCCGGCGGACAAAGUCGGCCAGCCCCACCCCCCAGGCUAAAGUCCACCCGUUUUUGUGGCCUUUUUCCGCUGGACGAACUUGGCGCCCCGGCCUUCGGGCGGUUAUUUUUGGGCGCGGCUUUGCCCGCGGCCUAUUUUUGGCACACGGAGACCCCUCGUAAAGUCUCGCGGCAUUCCGAGUCCGGCGGACGAAGUUGGCCUGCCCCACCUCCCAAGGCUAUAGCCCACCCGUUUUUGUGGCCUUUUUUCGCUGGACGAACUUGGCGCCCCGGCCUUCGGGCGCGGCUUUGCCCGCGCCCUAUUUUUGGCAACAGAGGCCCCUCGCAAAGUCUCGCGGCAUUCCGAGUCCGGCGGAGGAAGUGGGCCAGCCCCACCCCCAAAGGCUAUAGCCCACCCGUUUUUGUGACCUUUU